GAUGAACGCUGGCGGCGUGCUUAACACAUGCAAGUCGAACGGUGAAGGUUGGAGCUUGCUCCUGCCGGAUCAGUGGCGAACGGGUGAGUAACACGUGAGCAAUCUGCCCCGAACUCUGGGAUAAGCGCUGGAAACGGCGUCUAAUACCGGAUACGACGCGCGACGGCAUCGUCUGCGCGUGGCAAGAACUUCGGUUCGGGAUGAGCUCGCGGCCUAUCAGCUUGUUGGUGAGGUAAUGGCUCACCAAGGCGACGACGGGUAGCCGGCCUGAGAGGGUGACCGGCCACACUGGGACUGAGACACGGCCCAGACUCCUACGGGAGGCAGCAGUGGGGAAUAUUGCACAAUGGGCGCAAGCCUGAUGCAGCAACGCCGCGUGAGGGACGACGGCCUUCGGGUUGUAAACCUCUUUUAGUGGGGAAGAAGCGAAAGUGACGGUACCUGCAGAAAAAGCACCGGCUAACUACGUGCCAGCCGCCGCGGUAACAC
rnacentral:rRNA from 1 species